GUCUUUAGAUGGGGAAGGAAAUAAUGUGAUGCUGUCUUCUCUUUCCUUUUCAGAACCUGACGAAGCUGCUUCCAUGCAUCAUUAUCCCACAGCACUGCUUCCAGCACCCCUCAGAUGUUGUUUUUUGGAGUUGAUGCUGAUCACCAUGAUCUGUGCAGCUCAGCCUCGUUGCAGCUGUAAUUAAUCCCUUCUGUUAUAAACUAAAUAGUCUGAAAAUCAUUUUCUUCAUUUGCUGCACCUGCCACUGGAGAGCUCCUGCAACCUUCAGUGAUGCAGAGCAAACAGCCGUUGCCUUGAAGAGAAUGCUUUCCAACUCUUUGGUGCCUGCCACUUCUCCUCUGUCUUGCAUUUGAAAUCCUCCAGGAUGGGAGUCAUGCUUUGUAUAAAAGGAAGAAAAAGGUGUAAUUUAUCCUGUAAUCAGUGAAUUCUGGACUCUUAUGUUGCUCUCUGAAAAAAAGCUGGAGAACCAGAGUCCUGGCAGAUCCUGAUGCACCGUGUAAAAGGGUGUAAAAGGGACUUUGGGAGGCAGCUGACUUCUCCAAAGAGCUGUGCCAGAUGAAACACACAGCCAGGAUUUCCAGCCCACUGAACCAUGGAACAUAGGAGGGCUGCACUCUGAACAUGUGGCAUGAAGAGGUAGAUUAUCAAUAUGUACUAAUGAUAACCAUUCCUUUCCACUACUUGACUAUUUUUUUUUCCUCAGGCAUAGAUAAGGGCUCAAGUUUUUUGAAGAAAUCAAAUAUGUUAAAAAACGUAUUUGGGAGGAAGUGUAAUUUAAUAUGAGAAGCAUCACCCUUUUGCCAAGAGGUAGGAAUUAAUGUGCUGUUUGUGCUGUUGGAUGAGCUGUACACCAGAAUCUUGUUGGACUCAAUGUGAUAAAGAAAUGAGGGUUUGUUUAGGGUGUCAGUGCCAUGAGCUUCUGAUAUUCAGCUCUAGAUCAGUGGUAGGAUUUGACAAUAGCAGGGGCUGCUCUAAACCCCAUCAGUUAUGGCUGUGAAAGCAUUUGGGAGCUCUUAAUCUUUAAGCUUUAGACAGAAGGUCGUAGGCAGGGUUGCACAGGAGUCAGUAAGGAAACUGCUGGAGGAUGCUAGCAGAAAUUCCAGAUGAUGAAGGUAUAUGGUAGAUAGCUAAAGUUAACAGGAGAUACCCAAACUGUUAUCCCAACAUACAGCACCAAAGAGGAAAAGGACUACCAGUAAAACAUUUUAAGAUGGUCUCUCCCCAUCGAAUUUGCUGUAAGAGGAAAACCUGAAUGUGGUAAUUAAAUGCUUUAAACAAAGAACAUGCAAAACACAGAACUGAGUCAGUAGGGAUGUAGACAGAAUGAGAUUUGUCUGCAGCCUGGCAGCUUUUCUCUGAACUGCCCCAGCUCUGUUUAGGUGACUGGGAAUGAUUCCUAAACCAUUCUGAGGCUUCAGAUCGGGGUCUUACAGAAUGAACAGCAAAACACAACUUCUGCAUCUGCAAACAACUCUAGGUUUGGUAAGCUCUAAUCAUAGUAGCCCCCAAAGGUCUCCUAUGUUGUUCCAGUUUAAUUAGGCUAUUAAAAGAAAACAAACCUGUUCUUGACAUUUAUGACUAUGCAGUGUUCUGUGUUCUUUGUGUCAAGCAAGUUCAUCUCUUCACUCUCUCUCCAUAGUUUUUUUUGUGUGUGCAGGUAAACUGUUUGAAAUUAUCCUUUGUUUUAUAGAAAUUAGUUGAGCCCAGUAAAAUAUUUCUCCUAAAUACCAUCCUAAAUGCAAAGGCCUUGCUGAUAUACAGCUGAAUAUUUAGAGAACUAAUUUAUUAGGAGCAGAACCAGUAAUUUUUUUACUGGAGAGUCCUACAGCUUUAUCACAUUGUUCUAUGUCAAAGUAAUGAUGCAUCAAGCUCCCCACCAGUUAGUGAGGAAGAAACCCUCAGGGCAAUUGAAAUGAAACAACUUAAAGUGCAGAGUACCUGGCAAAAAGCUUACAAGGCUAGACAAGAAGAAUGUGGCUAUGCUGGAGGUCUGUAACCGCAGUCUCCAGGAACCUGGAGCCCUGGCCAUACCACAGCAGCUCUUAUGGACACUUCUUCCUUGGGAAAAAUAGAUUAAUAAAUUGAUAUUUGAAAAU